AGGAAGAUAGAUGUUGAAAAAAUUAAAUGGGUGAAAUUGAGAGGAAGAUAGAUGUUGAAAAAAUUAAAUGGGUGAAAUUGAGAGGAAGAUAGAUGUUGAAAAAAUUAAAUGGGUGAAAUUGAGAGGAAGAUAGAUGUUGAAAAAAUUAAAUGGGUGAAAUUGAGAGGAAGAUAGAUGUUGAAAAAAUUAAAUGGGUGAAGUUGAGAGGAAGAUAGAUGUUGAAAAAAUUAAAUAGGUGAAGUUGAGAGGAAGAUAGAUGUUGAAAAAAUUAAAUAGGUGAAGUUGAGAGGAAGAUAGAUGUUGAAAAAAUUAAAUAGGUGAAGUUGAGAGGAAGAUAGAUGUUGAAAAAAUUAAAUGGGUGAAGUUGAGAGGAAGAUAGAUGUUGAAAAAAUUAAAUGGGUGAAAUUGAGAGGAAGAUAGAUGUUGAAAAAAUUAAAUAGGUGAAAUUGAGAGGAAGAUAGAUGUUGAAAAAAUUAAAUAGGUGAAGUUGAGAGGAAGAUAGAUGUUGAAAAAAUUAAAUGGGUGAAAUUGAGAGGAAGAUAGAUGUUGAAAAAAUUAAAUGGGUGAAAUUGAGAGGAAGAUAGAUGUUGAAAAAAUUAAAUAGGUGAAGUUGAGA